rnacentral:tRNA from 1 species
GGAAGGCAAUCACGCCCGGUGGCGUGGCCGGACUUCAAAUCCGGGUUCGACUCCCACUGCCUUCCGCCA